rnacentral:tRNA from 1 species
GAAUCUCGUGGGGCAAUGGUAGCCCGCUAACUCAAGCUUCUAUCUUGACGGCAGAGAUGUUGGUUCGAAUCCAACCGAGACA